rnacentral:rRNA from 1 species
CGCGGCCUAUCAGCUUGUUGGUGGGGUAACGGCCCACCAAGGCAUCGACGGGUAGCUGGUCUGAGAGGACGAUCAGCCACACUGGGACUGAGACACGGCCCAGACUCCUACGGGAGGCAGCAGUGGGGAAUCUUGCGCAAUGGGCGAAAGCCUGACGCAGCAACGCCGCGUGGGGGAUGAAGGCUCUCGGGUUGUAAACCCCUUUCAGCAGGGACGAAUCAAGACGGUACCUGCAGAAGAAGCCCCGGCUAACUACGUGCCAGCAGCCGCGGUAACACGUAGGGGGCAAGCGUUGUCCGGAUUUAUUGGGCGUAAAGAGCUCGUAGGCGGCUGAGUAAGUCGGGUGUUAAAUCCCCAGGCUCAACCUGGGUCACCACCCGAUACUGCUCUGGCUAGAGUCCGGUAGGGGAGCGUGGAAUUCCUGGUGUAGCGGUGAAAUGCGCAGAUAUCAGGAGGAACACCAGCGGCGAAGGCGGCGCUCUGGGCCGGAACUGACGCUGAGGAGCGAAAGCGUGGGUAGCAAACAGGAUUAGAUACCCUGGUAGUCCACGCCGUAAACGUUGGGCACUAGGUGUGGGGUCUAUUCAACGGACUCCCUGCCGUAGCUAACGCAUUAAGUGCCCCGCCUGGGGAGUACGGA